UUUAUGGAGAGUUUGAUCCUGGCUCAGGAUGAACGCUGGCGGCGUGCCUAAUACAUGCAAGUCGAGCGAACGGACGAGAAGCUUGCUUCUCUGAUGUUAGCGGCGGACGGGUGAGUAACACGUGGAUAACCUACCUAUAAGACUGGGAUAACUUCGGGAAACCGGAGCUAAUACCGGAUAAUAUUUUGAACCGCAUGGUUCAAAAGUGAAAGACGGUCUUGCUGUCACUUAUAGAUGGAUCCGCGCUGCAUUAGCUAGUUGGUAAGGUAACGGCUUACCAAGGCAACGAUGCAUAGCCGACCUGAGAGGGUGAUCGGCCACACUGGAACUGAGACACGGUCCAGACUCCUACGGGAGGCAGCAGUAGGGAAUCUUCCGCAAUGGGCGAAAGCCUGACGGAGCAACGCCGCGUGAGUGAUGAAGGUCUUCGGAUCGUAAAACUCUGUUAUUAGGGAAGAACAUAUGUGUAAGUAACUGUGCACAUCUUGACGGUACCUAAUCAGAAAGCCACGGCUAACUACGUGCCAGCAGCCGCGGUAAUACGUAGGUGGCAAGCGUUAUCCGGAAUUAUUGGGCGUAAAGCGCGCGUAGGCGGUUUUUUAAGUCUGAUGUGAAAGCCCACGGCUCAACCGUGGAGGGUCAUUGGAAACUGGAAAACUUGAGUGCAGAAGAGGAAAGUGGAAUUCCAUGUGUAGCGGUGAAAUGCGCAGAGAUAUGGAGGAACACCAGUGGCGAAGGCGACUUUCUGGUCUGUAACUGACGCUGAUGUGCGAAAGCGUGGGGAUCAAACAGGAUUAGAUACCCUGGUAGUCCACGCCGUAAACGAUGAGUGCUAAGUGUUAGGGGGUUUCCGCCCCUUAGUGCUGCAGCUAACGCAUUAAGCACUCCGCCUGGGGAGUACGACCGCAAGGUUGAAACUCAAAGGAAUUGACGGGGACCCGCACAAGCGGUGGAGCAUGUGGUUUAAUUCGAAGCAACGCGAAGAACCUUACCAAAUCUUGACAUCCUUUGACAACUCUAGAGAUAGAGCCUUCCCCUUCGGGGGACAAAGUGA
rnacentral:rRNA from 1 species